rnacentral:rRNA from 1 species
UACGGGGGGUGCGAGCGUUGUCCGGAAUUACUGGGCGUAAAGAGCUCGUAGGUGGUUUGUCGCGUUGUCCGUGAAAACUCACAACUCAAUUGUGGGCGUGCGGGCGAUACGGGCAGACUGGAGUACUGCAGGGGAGACUGGAAUUCCUGGUGUAGCGGUGGAAUGCGCAGAUAUCAGGAGGAACACCGGUGGCGAAGGCGGGUCUCUGGGCAGUAACUGACGCUGAGGAGCGAAAGCGUGGGGAGCAAACGGG